AUUGAACGCUGGCGGAAUGCUUUACACAUGCAAGUCGAACGAUGAACCUUAGCUUGCUAAGGGGAUUAGUGGCGAACGGGUGAGUAAUGUAUCGGAACGUAUCCAAUAAUGGGGGAUAACUAGUCGAAAGAUUAGCUAAUACGGCAUACGUCCUACGGGAGAAAGCUAGGGACCUUCGGGCCUGGCGUUAAUGGAGCGGCCGAUAUCUGAUUAGCUAGUUGGUGGGGUAAAGGCUCACCAAGGCGACGAUCAGUAGCUGGUCUGAGAGGACGACCAGCCACACUGGAACUGAGACACGGUCCAGACUCCUACGGGAGGCAGCAGUGGGGAAUUUUAGACAAUGGGCGAAAGCCUGAUCCAGCCAUUCCGCGUGAGUGAAGAAGGCCUUCGGGUUGUAAAGCUCUUUCGCAAGGGAAGAAAACUUAAGCUCUAACAUAGCUUGAGGUUGACGGUACCUUGAUAAGAAGCACCGGCUAACUACGUGCCAGCCGCCGCGGUAA
rnacentral:rRNA from 1 species